GGGUUGUGAGGUUAAGCGACUAAGCGUACACGGUGGAUGCCCUGGCAGUCAGAGGCGAUGAAGGACGUGCUAAUCUGCGAUAAGCGCCGGUAAGGUGAUAUGAACCGUUAUAACCGGCGAUUUCCGAAUGGGGAAACCCAGUGUGACUCGUCACACUAUCAUUAACUGAAUCCAUAGGUUAAUGAGGCGAACCGGGGGAACUGAAACAUCUAAGUACCCCGAGGAAAAGAAAUCAACCGAGAUUCCCCCAGUAGCGGCGAGCGAACGGGGAGGAGCCCAGAGCCUGAAUCAGCAUGUGUGUUAGUGGAAGCGUCUGGAAAGGCGCGCGAUACAGGGUGACAGCCCCGUACACAAAAGCGCAUGUGCUGUGAGCUCGAUGAGUAGGGCGGGACACGUGGUAUCCUGUCUGAAUAUGGGGGGACCAUCCUCCAAGGCUAAAUACUCCUGACUGACCGAUAGUGAACCAGUACCGUGAGGGAAAGGCGAAAAGAACCCCGGCGAGGGGAGUGAAAAAGAACCUGAAACCGUGUACGUACAAGCAGUGGGAGCACCCUUUGGGGUGUGACUGCGUACCUUUUGUAUAAUGGGUCAGCGACUUAUAUUCUGUAGCAAGGUUAACCGUAUAGGGGAGCCGCAGGGAAACCGAGUCUUAACCGGGCGUUAAGUUGCAGGGUAUAGACCCGAAACCCGGUGAUCUAGCCAUGGGCAGGUUGAAGGUUGGGUAACACUAACUGGAGGACCGAACCGACUAAUGUUGAAAAAUUAGCGGAUGACCUGUGGCUGGGGGUGAAAGGCCAAUCAAACCGGGAGAUAGCUGGUUCUCCCCGAAAGCUAUUUAGGUAGCGCCUCGUGAAUUCAUCUCCGGGGGUAGAGCACUGUUUCGGCUAGGGGGCCAUCCCGGCUUACCAACCCGAUGCAAACUGCGAAUACCGGAGAAUGUUAUCACGGGAGACACACGGCGGGUGCUAACGUCCGUCGUGAAGAGGGAAACAACCCAGACCGCCAGCUAAGGUCCCAAAGUCAUGGUUAAGUGGGAAACGAUGUGGGAAGGCCCAGACAGCCAGGAUGUUGGCUUAGAAGCAGCCAUCAUUUAAAGAAAGCGUAAUAGCUCACUGGUCGAGUCGGCCUGCGCGGAAGAUGUAACGGGGCUAAACCAUGCACCGAAGCUGCGGCAGCGACACUGUGUGUUGUUGGGUAGGGGAGCGUUCUGUAAGCCUGCGAAGGUGGCCUGUGAGGGUUGCUGGAGGUAUCAGAAGUGCGAAUGCUGACAUAAGUAACGAUAAAGCGGGUGAAAAGCCCGCUCGCCGGAAGACCAAGGGUUCCUGUCCAACGUUAAUCGGGGCAGGGUGAGUCGACCCCUAAGGCGAGGCCGAAAGGCGUAGUCGAUGGGAAACGGGUUAAUAUUCCCGUACUUGGUGUUACUGCGAAGGGGGGACGGAGAAGGCUAUGUUGGCCGGGCGACGGUUGUCCCGGUUUAAGCGUGUAGGUGUGUGUUCCAGGUAAAUCCGGUUCACUUUAACACUGAGGCGUGACGACGAGGCACUACGGUGCUGAAGCAACAAAUGCCCUGCUUCCAGGAAAAGCCUCUAAGCAUCAGGUAACAUCAAAUCGUACCCCAAACCGACACAGGUGGUCAGGUAGAGAAUACCAAGGCGCUUGAGAGAACUCGGGUGAAGGAACUAGGCAAAAUGGUGCCGUAACUUCGGGAGAAGGCACGCUGACACGUAGGUGAAGUGAUUUACUCAUGGAGCUGAAGUCAGUCGAAGAUACCAGCUGGCUGCAACUGUUUAUUAAAAACACAGCACUGUGCAAACACGAAAGUGGACGUAUACGGUGUGACGCCUGCCCGGUGCCGGAAGGUUAAUUGAUGGGGUCAGCGCAAGCGAAGCUCCUGAUCGAAGCCCCGGUAAACGGCGGCCGUAACUAUAACGGUCCUAAGGUAGCGAAAUUCCUUGUCGGGUAAGUUCCGACCUGCACGAAUGGCGUAAUGAUGGCCAGGCUGUCUCCACCCGAGACUCAGUGAAAUUGAACUCGCUGUGAAGAUGCAGUGUACCCGCGGCAAGACGGAAAGACCCCGUGAACCUUUACUAUAGCUUGACACUGAACAUUGAGCCUUGAUGUGUAGGAUAGGUGGGAGGCUUUGAAGUGUGGACGCCAGUCUGCAUGGAGCCGACCUUGAAAUACCACCCUUUAAUGUUUGAUGUUCUAACGUGGACCCGUAAUCCGGGUUGCGGACAGUGUCUGGUGGGUAGUUUGACUGGGGCGGUCUCCUCCUAAAGAGUAACGGAGGAGCACGAAGGUUGGCUAAUCCUGGUCGGACAUCAGGAGGUUAGUGCAAUGGCAUAAGCCAGCUUGACUGCGAGCGUGACGGCGCGAGCAGGUGCGAAAGCAGGUCAUAGUGAUCCGGUGGUUCUGAAUGGAAGGGCCAUCGCUCAACGGAUAAAAGGUACUCCGGGGAUAACAGGCUGAUACCGCCCAAGAGUUCAUAUCGACGGCGGUGUUUGGCACCUCGAUGUCGGCUCAUCACAUCCUGGGGCUGAAGUAGGUCCCAAGGGUAUGGCUGUUCGCCAUUUAAAGUGGUACGCGAGCUGGGUUUAGAACGUCGUGAGACAGUUCGGUCCCUAUCUGCCGUGGGCGCUGGAGAACUGAGGGGGGCUGCUCCUAGUACGAGAGGACCGGAGUGGACGCAUCACUGGUGUUCGGGUUGUCAUGCCAAUGGCACUGCCCGGUAGCUAAAUGCGGAAGAGAUAAGUGCUGAAAGCAUCUAAGCACGAAACUUGCCCCGAGAUGAGUUCUCCCUGAGACUUAGAGUCUCCUGAAGGAACGUUGAAGACGACGACGUUGAUAGGCCGGGUGUGUAAGCGCAGCGAUGCGUUGAGCUAACCGGUACUAAUGAACCGUGAGGCUUAACCUUACAACGCCAAAG
rnacentral:rRNA from 1 species